rnacentral:rRNA from 1 species
UUAAGCGACUAAGCGUACACGGUGGAUGCCCUGGCAGUCAGAGGCGAUGAAGGACGUGCUAAUCUGCGAUAAGCGUCGGUGAGGUGAUAUAAACCGUUAUAACCGGCGAUUUCCGAAUGGGGAAACCCAGUGUGUUUCGACACACUAUCAUUAACUGAAUCCAUAGGUUAAUGAGGCGAACCGGGGGAACUGAAACAUCUAAGUACCCCGAGGAAAAGAAAUCAACCGAGAUUCCCCCAGUAGCGGCGAGCGAACGGGGAGGAGCCCAGAGCCUGAAUCAGUGUGUGUGUUAGUGGAAGCGUCUGGAAAGGCGCGCGAUACAGGGUGACAGCCCCGUACACAAAAAUGCACANUGUGAGCUCGAUGAGUAGGGCGGGACACGUGGUAUCCUGUCUGAAUAUGGGGGGACCAUCCUCCAAGGCUAAAUACUCCUGACUGACCGAUAGUGAACCAGUACCGUGAGGGAAAGGCGAAAAGAACCCCGGCGAGGGGAGUGAAAAAGAACCUGAAACCGUGUACGUACAAGCAGUGGGAGCCUCUUAAUGGGGUGACUGCGUACCUUUUGUAUAAUGGGUCAGCGACUUAUAUUCUGUAGCAAGGUUAACCGAAUAGGGGAGCCGAAGGGAAACCGAGUCUUAACUGGGCGUUAAGUUGCAGGGUAUAGACCCGAAACCCGGUGAUCUAGCCAUGGGCAGGUUGAAGGUUGGGUAACACUAACUGGAGGACCGAACCGACUAAUGUUGAAAAAUUAGCGGAUGACUUGUGGCUGGGGGUGAAAGGCCAAUCAAACCGGGAGAUAGCUGGUUCUCCCCGAAAGCUAUUUAGGUAGCGCCUCGUGAAUUCAUCUCCGGGGGUAGAGCACUGUUUCGGCAAGGGGGUCAUCCCGACUUACCAACCCGAUGCAAACUGCGAAUACCGGAGAAUGUUAUCACGGGAGACACACGGCGGGUGCUAACGUCCGUCGUGAAGAGGGAAACAACCCAGACCGCCAGCUAAGGUCCCAAAGUCAUGGUUAAGUGGGAAACGAUGUGGGAAGGCCCAGACAGCCAGGAUGUUGGCUUAGAAGCAGCCAUCAUUUAAAGAAAGCGUAAUAGCUCACUGGUCGAGUCGGCCUGCGCGGAAGAUGUAACGGGGCUAAACCAUGCACCGAAGCUGCGGCAGCGACGCUUAUGCGUUGUUGGGUAGGGGAGCGUUCUGUAAGCCUGUGAAGGUGUNNNNNAUGCUGGAGGUAUCAGAAGUGCGAAUGCUGACAUAAGUAACGAUAAAGCGGGUGAAAAGCCCGCUCGCCGGAAGACCAAGGGUUCCUGUCCAACGUUAAUCGGGGCAGGGUGAGUCGACCCCUAAGGCGAGGCCGAAAGGCGUAGUCGAUGGGAAACAGGUUAAUAUUCCUGUACUUGGUGUUACUGCGAAGGGGGGACGGAGAAGGCUAUGUUGGCCGGGCGACGGUUGUCCCGGUUUAAGCGUGUAGGCUGGUUUUCCAGGCAAAUCCGGAAAAUCAAGGCUGAGGCGUGAUGACGAGGCACUACGGUGCUGAAGCGACAAAUGCCCUGCUUCCAGGAAAAGCCUCUAAGCAUCAGGUAACAUUAAAUCGUACCCCAAACCGACACAGGUGGUCAGGUAGAGAAUACCAAGGCGCUUGAGAGAACUCGGGUGAAGGAACUAGGCAAAAUGGUGCCGUAACUUCGGGAGAAGGCACGCUGAUAUGUAGGUGAAGCGACUUGCUCGUGGAGCUGAAAUCAGUCGAAGAUACCAGCUGGCUGCAACUGUUUAUUAAAAACACAGCACUGUGCAAACACGAAAGUGGACGUAUACGGUGUGACGCCUGCCCGGUGCCGGAAGGUUAAUUGAUGGGGUUAGCGGCAACGCGAAGCUCUUGAUCGAAGCCCCGGUAAACGGCGGCCGUAACUAUAACGGUCCUAAGGUAGCGAAAUUCCUUGUCGGGUAAGUUCCGACCUGCACGAAUGGCGUAAUGAUGGCCAGGCUGUCUCCACCCGAGACUCAGUGAAAUUGAACUCGCUGUGAAGAUGCAGUGUACCCGCGGCAAGACGGAAAGACCCCGUGAACCUUUACUAUAGCUUGACACUGAACAUUGAGCCUUGAUGUGUAGGAUAGGUGGGAGGCUUUGAAGUGUGGACGCCAGUCUGCAUGGAGCCGACCUUGAAAUACCACCCUUUAAUGUUUGAUGUUCUAACGUGGGCCCGUAAUCCGGGUUGCGGACAGUGUCUGGUGGGUAGUUUGACUGGGGCGGUCUCCUCCUAAAGAGUAACGGAGGAGCACGAAGGUUGGCUAAUCCUGGUCGGACAUCAGGAGGUUAGUGCAA